rnacentral:rRNA from 1 species
UACGUAUGGUGCAAGCGUUAUCCGGAUUUACUGGGUGUAAAGGGAGCGCAGGCGGCACGCUAAGCCUGAUGUGAAAACCCGCGGCCCAACCGCGGGAGUGCAUUGGGAACUGGCGAGCUAGAGUACCGGAGAGGUCAUCGGAAUUCCUUGUGUAGCGGUGAAAUGCGUAGAUAUAAGGAAGAACACCAGUGGCGAAGGCGGAUGACUGGACGGCAACUGACGGUGAGGCGCGAAAGCGUGGGGAGCAAACAGG